rnacentral:rRNA from 1 species
GAUUGUAGUCUGCAACCCGACUACAUGAAGCUGGAAUCGCUAGUAAUCGCGGAUCAGAAUGCCGCGGUGAAUACGUUCCCGGGUCUUGUACACACCGCCCGUCACACCAUGGGAGUCGGAAAUGCCCGAAGUCUGUGACCCAACCAUUAAGGAGGGAGCAGCCGAAGGCAGGUCGGAUGACUGGGGUGAAGUCGUAACAAGGUAUC